rnacentral:tRNA from 1 species
GGGCUAUUAGCGCAGGCAGGUAGCGCAGCAGGCUCUUAACCUGACGGUCGGGGGUUCGAUUCCCUCAUAGCCCG